UGGGCCAUGGCGGCGUGCUAUACAUGCAGUCGAGCGACUGAUUAGAAGCUUGCUUCUAUGACGUUAGCGGCGGACGGGUGAGUAACACGUGGGCAACCUGCCUGUAAGACUGGGAUAACUUCGGGAAACCGAAGCUAAUACCGGAUAGGAUCUUCUCCUUCAUGGGAGAUGAUUGAAAGAUGGUUUCGGCUAUCACUUACAGAUGGGCCCGCGGUGCAUUAGCUAGUUGGUGAGGUAACGGCUCACCAAGGCAACGAUGCAUAGCCGACCUGAGAGGGUGAUCGGCCACACUGGGACUGAGACACGGCCCAGACUCCUACGGGAGGCAGCAGUAGGGAAUCUUCCGCAAUGGACGAAAGUCUGACGGAGCAACGCCGCGUGAGUGAUGAAGGCUUUCGGGUCGUAAAACUCUGUUGUUAGGGAAGAACAAGUAUGAGAGUAACUGCUCGUACCUUGACGGUACCUAACCAGAAAGCCACGGCUAACUACGUGCCAGCAGCCGCGGUAAUACGUAGGUGGCAAGCGUUAUCCGGAAUUAUUGGGCGUAAAGCGCGCGCAGGCGGUUUCUUAAGUCUGAUGUGAAAGCCCACGGCUCAACCGUGGAGGGUCAUUGGAAACUGGGGAACUUGAGUGCAGAAGAGAAGAGCGGAAUUCCACGUGUAGCGGUGAAAUGCGUAGAGAUGUGGAGGAACACCAGUGGCGAAGCGGCUUUUUGGUCUGUAACUGACGCUGAGGCGCGAAAGCGUGGGGAGCAAACAGGAUUAGAUACCCUGGUAGUCCACGCCGUAAACGAUGAGUGCUAAGUGUUAGAGGGGUUUCCGCCCUUUAGUGCUGCAGCUAACGCACUAAGCACUCCGCCCGGGGAGUACGGUCGCAAGACUGAUACUCAAAGGAAUUGACGGGGGCCCGCACAAGCGGUGGAGCAUGUGGGUUUAAUUCGAAGCAACGCGAAGAACCUUACCAGGUCUUGACAUCCUCUGACAACUCUAGAGAUAGAGCG
rnacentral:rRNA from 2 species